GGUUGUCACAGCCAGGGCUAAAAGGUCUGCAACCAGAAAUGUCAAAAGAUAUGGAAAGAAGGUCAUGCUGCAGUGGAUUUGUUUACCUUGACAUUACUGAAGAUGUGGCUGUUUUCCUGCCUGCAUACAAGUUGAAUGGCUUAUGCUUGAAACGCAAGAAGAUGGAAGUCAAGACUGGUAAGGUUAAAAGGAA